rnacentral:rRNA from 1 species
GACGGAGGAUGCAAGCGUUAUCCGGAAUGAUUGGGCGUAAAGCGUCCGCAGGUGGCAGUUCAAGUCUGCUGUCAAAGACCGGGGCUUAACUUCGGAAAGGCAGUGGAAACUGAACAGCUAGAGUAUGGUAGGGGCAGAGGGAAUUCCUGGUGUAGCGGUGAAAUGCGCAGAUAUCAGGAGGAACACCAAUUGCGAAGGCAGCUCGCUGGGACGUUACUGACGCUGAGACGCGAAAGCGUGGGGAGCAAACAGG